AUGAACGCUAGCGGGAGGCUUAACACAUGCAAGUCGAAGGGCAGCAUUAUCGCUUGCGAUAGAUGGCGACUGGCGAACGGGUGCGUAACGCGUAUGCAACCUACCCUCAACUGGAGAAUAGCCCAGAGAAAUUUGGAUUAAUACUCCAUAGUAUUACAGAUUCGCAUGUUUCUGUAAUUAAAGUUUUAAUGGUUGAGGAUGGGCAUGCGUGACAUUAGUUUGUUGGUGAGGUAAUGGCUCACCAAGACUACGAUGUCUAGGGGUUCUGAGAGGAUGAUCCCCCACACUGGUACUGAGACACGGACCAGACUCCUACGGGAGGCAGCAGUGAGGAAUAUUGGACAAUGGAGGCAACUCUGAUCCAGCCAUCCCGCGUGCAGGAAGACGGCCCUAUGGGUUGUAAACUGCUUUUAUACAGGAAUAAACCCCUCUACGUGUAGAGGGCUGAAGGUACUGUAAGAAUAAGCACCGGCUAACUCCAUG
rnacentral:rRNA from 1 species